UACGAAGGGGGCAAGCGUUGUUCGGAAUUACUGGGCGUAAAGGGAGUGUAGGCGGCAUAGCAAGAUAGGGGUGAAAUCCCGGGGCUUAACCUCGGAACUGCCUCUAUAACUGCUAGGCUAGAGUUAUAGAGAGGAUGACGGAAUAUCCAGUGUAGAGGUGAAAUUCGUAGAUAUUGGAUAGAACACCAGUGGCGAAGGCG
rnacentral:rRNA from 1 species